AAGGUUUCCGUAGGUGAACCUGCGGAAGGAUCAUUGUCGAUGCCUUACAUGCAGUCCAACACGUGAAUAAGUUUGAACACAUACGGGUGGGCUUGAGGUGUUCCACACCUCGGCUUACCUCUGGUUCGGAGGCGGACGACGAAGUGCGUUCUCCUCCGCGCCAAAACUCAAACCCCGGCGCUGAUGCGUCAAGGAAUUUAAAUUUUGCUCUGAGCGCACCUGCAUGGCACCGGAGACGGUUUUUGUGCGGGUUGUGUUUUGACACAUGAUAUAGAAUGACUCUCGGCAACGGAUAUCUAGGCUCUUGCAUCGAUGAAGAACGUAGCGAAAUGCGAUACUUGGUGUGAAUUGCAGAAUCCCGUGAACCAUCGAGUCUUUGAACGCAAGUUGCGCCCGAUGCCAUUAGGUUGAGGGCACGUCUGCCUGGGUGUCACAUAUCGAAGCCUCCUGCCAAUUUCCCUUAGAUUAUUGUGUAGGGUGGAUGUUGGCCUCCCGUGAGCUCGUCUCAUGGUUGGUUGAAAAUUGAGACCUUGGUAGGGURUGCCAUGAUAGAUGGUGGUUGUGUGACCCACGAGACCAAUCAUGCGCUACUCUAUUUAAUUUGGCCUCUUUUACCCAUAUGCGUUACUAAACGCUCGUGAUGAGACCUCAGGUCAGGCGGGGCUACCCGCUGAAUUUAAGCAUAUCAAUAAGCGGAGGAAAAGAAACUAACAAGGAUUCC
rnacentral:rRNA from 1 species